AGUUAACAGGCGAAUGUAAUGACAGGACUAAGCAUGUAGUGCCAACGGCGUAGUAAUUUCGGACGGGGGUUCAAAUCCCCCCAGCUCCACCA
rnacentral:tRNA from 1 species